rnacentral:misc_RNA from 1 species
AAAGAACUGAUUUGUGGAGAGAAUGCAAAGCAUGGCCAUGUGCCCAAUGCUAAAACUUUUUCCUUAAAAAACUGUUGGGUUUUACUCCGUAUAUUGGGAGUUGUAGCAUUCUUUUUAAAAAUUCCAUGUUCUCAGUAAUUUUAUUAGUUUUCAGUCAUAUGAAUAUAUAACCUUUUUCUUCCUGUCUGCUUGCUUCACAGGAAGUCCAUU